rnacentral:misc_RNA from 1 species
GAUGAAGAACGUAGUGAAAUGCGAUAAGUAAUGUGAAUUGCAGAAUUCAGUGAAUCAUCGAAUCUUUGAACGCACAUUGCGCCCCCUGGUAUUCCGGGGGGCAUGCCUGUUCGAGCGUCAUUUCACCACUCAAGCCUCGCUUGGUAUUGGGCAUCGCGGUCCGCCGCGCGCCUCAAAUCGACCGGCUGGGUCUUCUGUCCCCUAAGCGUUGUGGAAACUAUUCGCUAAAGGGUGUUCGGAAGGCUACGCCGUAAAACAACCCCAUUUCUAAGGUUGACCUCGGAUCAGGUAGGGAUACCCGCUGAACUUAAGCAUAUCAAUAAGCGGAGGA